rnacentral:rRNA from 1 species
UACGUAGGGUGCAAGCGUUGUCCGGAAUUAUUGGGCGUAAAGAGCUCGUAGGCGGUCUGUCGCGUCUGCUGUGAAAACUCGGGGCUCAACUCCGAGCCUGCGUUCGAUACUGGAUGGCUAGAGUCUGGUAGGGGGAUCUGGAAUUCCUGGUGUAGCGGUGGAAUGCGCAGAUAUCAGGAGGAACACCGGUGGCGAAGGCGGGAUCCUGGGCCAGUACUGACGCUGAGGAGCGAAAGCGUGGGGAGCAAACAGG